rnacentral:lncRNA from 1 species
CACCUUUUUCUUGCCUUGCAUAGGUACUUGGUUGAGAGCCUGGAACGGGCGUCUGCGAUGCCAGCUGCUGUAGCCAAAAAUGCCGCUGGGUUUGAACCGUUCUGUCAAAACAGCCGGCGUCUGCAUCCUGCCUGCCUGUGGGUCCAGGCAGCUCCUCUCAGCUGCAGCUAGACCCGUGUCCUGGCCGUGCCCACGUGGGGAGCUGCCUUUGCAGUGCUGCCCAGCCAGCAGCAUCCCAGAAGGCUUCACAAACAAAUGCUAAGCACCUUUGCCACAGCUCCGUUUCCUUCAUCGCAAAACUGCGGUCACCUCUGGGGUGGAGCGUUGCAGUGGGGUUUAAGAGCAAGGCCCAGCCCUGAAUAAGACAGGAAUUGAAGAAGCGUCCUGUAUCCCAGCGGUGCUCGGUCUCUGGCCUAGGGGCCUGAUCCGGCCCGUGGAGCCGUCCAGCGACGGUGCUCCCCGUGAGUUGGAAAUUUGGCAGAGGCAGCCUGGAGCCAUGCCAAUUAACACCGCUCCCCACUGCCCCUACCACCUUUCCAGACCUAUGCAGAGCCCUGCAGUCUGGAUGAUGUGGCCCUGUGUGCAGGUUGCCCCACGACGAGAUUCGGGUCACGUGGACCGACUCCUGUGCACUGGAUCAGACGCACGGACCAACCUUGCACUCCGGAUCAGGCGUGCAGGCCAGCCCGCGGGGCCGGAGAGGCUGAGCACCGCUGCCGCAGCCAAAUCAAUCUGCGGCUGCGUUUCAGGAAAGCGAUGCUCGCUGGGAAAAUGCCAGUUUGGAGCCUUGACUCAUUAA